rnacentral:rRNA from 1 species
GAUGAACGCUGGCGGCGUGCUUAACACAUGCAAGUCGAACGGUGAAAGAGGGAGCUUGCUCCCUCUGGAUCAGUGGCGAACGGGUGAGUAACACGUGAGUAACCUGCCCUUGACUCUGGGAUAAGCGUUGGAAACGACGUCUAAUACCGGAUACGAGCUUCAGCCGCAUGGCUAGGAGCUGGAAAGAACUUCGGUCAAGGAUGGACUCGCGGCCUAUCAGCUUGUUGGUGAGGUAAUGGCUCACCAAGGCGACGACGGGUAGCCGGCCUGAGAGGGUGACCGGCCACACUGGGACUGAGACACGGCCCAGACUCCUACGGGAGGCAGCAGUGGGGAAUAUUGCACAAUGGGCGCAAGCCUGAUGCAGCAACGCCGCGUGAGGGACGACGGCCUUCGGGUUGUAAACCUCUUUUAGUAGGGAAGAAGCGAAAGUGACGGUACCUGCAGAAAAAGCACCGGCUAACUACGUGCCAGCAGCCGCCGUAA